AAAACUGCAGUAUGAAUAAAGUCGUAAAGUUUGCUUUUUGCGGAUUAGCUGUGGUCACCAUUACUUACGGUCUUUCUUCUUUUAUGGACUCUAUUAGAACCCAAGAAAACCAGGAAGCUGUUAUUUCCAAAUUGCCACCAGCCGAUAAAAGGAAGUAUGGAAAUAAGAGUUUGUAUGGGAGCGAGAGCCAGCUUGGCCUCCUUAUCGCAAAAAAUAUAUCUUCGAAAAGGCCUUGUUAUGAAGUAGUUGGUUUAGAGGAAAAGUAGUUUUACUAUUUGCG